rnacentral:rRNA from 1 species
AGGGCAAGUCUGGUGCCAGCAGCCGCGGUAAUUCCAGCUCCAAUAGCGUAUAUUAAAGUUGUUGCAGUUAAAAAGCUCGUAGUUGAAUUUCGGGAUCAAUCUAUCGGUCGUGCAAUAGUACGUACUGAUUUUAUUGAUUCCUCCCUUCUGAUGAACUAUGAUGUCAUUAAUUUGGUGUCAUAGGGAAUCAGGACUGUUACUUUGAAAAAAUUAGAGUGUUUAGAGCAGGCUCACGCUUGAAUACAUUAGCAUGGAAUAACGAAAUAGGACGUUUGAUUCUAUUUUGUUGGUUUCUAGGAUCGACGUAAUGAUUAAUAGGGAUAGUUGGGGGCAUUAGUAUUCAAUUGUCAGAGGUGAAAUUCUUGGAUUUAUUGAAGACUAACUACUGCGAAAGCAUUUGCCAAGGAUGUUUUCAUUAAUCAAGAACGAAAGUUAGGGGAUCGAAGACGAUCAGAUACCGUCGUAGUCUUAACCAUAAACUAUGCCGACUAGGGAUCGGAUGAUGUUAAUUUUUUAAUGACUCAUUCGGCGCCUUACGGGAA